rnacentral:lncRNA from 1 species
AAGUGCUGGGAUUAAAGGCGUGCGCCACCACCGCCCGGCUUGAUGACAUGAAAGUUAAGCAUGACUUGAUGAUCUGCGUCUACAUAAAGGAUAAAGAGGGGAAAGGUCAGAGACUAGAAGGGCUUGGAUGUCUUCUGGGUGGAUGGAAAAAUUGAAAGGACUGAGUUAUGUGCUCUGCAAAAAAUCAGCUCGUGGAGGACCAAAGUAUCUUUUCUUUUGUGUAAAGCGUGGUGAAGAAGCUAUAACAAACAGGACCAGAAUCUUAAGAGGACGGAGCCAUGGUCCAGGAGAGGUUCCUGUGUGACUGAAACCAUGAAUAUAUCUGGGAGUAUGAGUCUAUCAAAAGAGUAUUCUAGACAUGAAUUUAAUGUACAAUUUGGUUUUUAAGUGUUAAAAUUAGAGUCCUAAUGGAAAGUGAAAUCUUAAAAGAUGCUAGGCUAUAACUAAGGCUAUGUACACAGAUUACAAGAUAGAAAAGGUGAGAGACACACAGAACGUCCCCUAGCCUUGGAGUUGGGAGACCUUUGGUUUUGAAAGUUUCCUGAGCUAUGGGCUUGCUGUGUGUCCCAGGAUGGCUUCAUACUGUCUUCCUGCAUCAGCCUCUUCUCCCACCUGUAGUACUGGGAUUACCUUGUCCAUCUUGUUCGGAUUAUAGCUGUCCACUCUCAGGGAUAAAUCAUUUUAGAGUUGGCCUCCGCGUGCUUGUGUGUAACAUGAAAAGAGUUC